rnacentral:rRNA from 1 species
GGGCGCAAGCCUGAUGCAGCCUGCCGCGUGUAUGAAGAAGGCCUUCGGGUUGUAAAGUACUUUCAGCAGUGAGGAAGGUGGUNCGUGUUAAUAGCACUAUCAUUUGACGUUAGCUGCAGAAGAAGCACCGGCUAACUCCGUGCCAGCAGCCGCGGUAAUACGGAGGGUGCGAGCGUUAAUCGGAAUUACUGGGCGUAAAGCGCAUGCAGGUGGUUUNUUAAGUCAGAUGUGAAAGCCCGGGGGCUCAACCUCGGAAUUGCAUUUGAAACUGGCAGACUAGAGUACUGGUAGAGGGGGGUACUAUUUAGGUGUAGCGGGUGAAAUGCGUAGAGAUCUGAAGGAAUACCGGUGGCGAAGGCGGCCCCCUGGACAGAUACUUGACACUCAUGCCAAAAGCGUGGGGAGCAAACAGGAUUAGAUACCCUGGUAGUCCACGCCGUAAACGAUGUCUACUUGGAGGUUGUGGCUUGAGCCGUGGCUUUCGGAGCUAACGCGUUAAGUAGACCGCCUGGGGAGUACGGUCGCAAGAUUAAAACUCAAAUGAAUUGACGGGGGCCCGCACAAGCGGUGGAGCAUGUGGUUUAAUUCGAUGCAACGCGAAGAACCUUACCUACUCUUGACAUCCAUAGAACCUUCCAGAGAUGGAUUGGUGC